rnacentral:rRNA from 1 species
CGACCGGCGCACGGGUGAGUAACGCGUAUCCAACCUGCCCACCACUUGGGGAUAACCUUGCGAAAGUAAGACUAAUACCCAAUGAUAUCUCUAGAAGACAUCUGAAAGAGAUUAAAGAUUUAUCGGUGAUGGAUGGGGAUGCGUCUGAUUAGCUUGUUGGCGGGGUAACGGCCCACCAAGGCAACGAUCAGUAGGGGUUCUGAGAGGAGGGUCCCCCACAUUGGAACUGAGACACGGUCCAA